rnacentral:rRNA from 1 species
UACGAUGGGGGCUAGCGUUGUUCGGAAUUACUGGGCGUAAAGCGCACGUAGGCGGACUACUAAGUCAGGGGUGAAAUCCCGGGGCUCAACCCCGGAACUGCCUUUGAUACUGAUAGUCUCGAGUCCGGAAGAGGUGAGUGGAAUUCCGAGUGUAGAGGUGAAAUUCGUAGAUAUUCGGAGGAACACCAGUGGCGAAGGCGGCUCACUGGACAGUUCCUGACGCUGAGGCACGAAGGCCAGGGGAGCAAACGGG